rnacentral:lncRNA from 1 species
CUAUUUCUAUUAGUCCCUUCUAGUGUGAACUCCUCAAAGCAGGAAAGGAUUCAUCUUUGAAUUCUGGCUGUAUCCUAGUUUUUAACACAGGAAAAAAGUUCAUAUUUGUUGAUAUAGCACCGGGUUGAAUGUAGAAGCAGAUAAGGCAGUCCAGUCAGUAUUAAAAGAUUUCUACAAUUGUAAAACAAGGCUAUUAUUUUAAUGCCUGGGGAAAUAUAGUUAUUUAAGGUAAGUUAAUAAAUUAAAUAUAUUGGGUAUUGGGUUUUUUAUUUGAGGGAUGUGUGUAUGUGUUUGUGAUGGAGUCUGGUUAUCUUGCCCAUGCUGGUCUUAAACUCCUGGGCUCUAGUGAUCCUUCCCCCUCAGCCUCCCAAAUGCUAGGACUACAGAUGCAACCACCACACCUGAUUAGUAAAACUUUUUAAAAAUACAUAUUAGGGGCUGGGUUGUGGCUCAGCGAUAGAGUGCUUGCCUGGCAUGUGUGAGACACUGGGUUCAAUUCUCAGCAUCACAUAAAAAUAAAUUAAUUAACUAAAGGCUCAUCAACAACUAAAUAUAAAAAAAUUUUAAAGUAUAAAAG